rnacentral:rRNA from 1 species
UACGUAGGGUGCGAGCGUUGUCCGGAAUUAUUGGGCGUAAAGAGCUUGUAGGCGGUUUGUCGCGUCUGCUGUGAAAAUCCGGGGCUCAACCCCGGACUUGCAGUGGGUACGGGCAGACUGGAGUGUGGUAGGGGAGACUGGAAUUCCUGGUGUAGCGGUGGAAUGCGCAGAUAUCAGGAGGAACACCGAUGGCGAAGGCAGGUCUCUGGGCCACUACUGACGCUGAGGAGCGAAAGCAUGGGUAGCGAACAGG